CCCCCUGCCGGCCGUACUCACCAGACAGGAUCCGCAUGACCACACGCUCCUGCAAAGGGUAGAAGGCUUGGUGCCCCAGCUGCUCCAGGGCCUGAAGCACCUCAGCUGGCGUGUCUGUGGACACAGAGUUGGCGGCAGGCAGCGCCCAUUCUCUGGGAUACUUCCUUGAACGUGGCCCGGGUCUGUGCGCCACCCUCAUCCUUGCCACCCUCCUUCUGAGGGGCCAGGUGCGGACGCAAAGGAGACUCACAGAGCAAGAAGCAAGGCAGGUGGGCGGGAACAUCCGGCACCACCUUCUCACCUGCUUGCGAAGGAGCCUGCCCCUUGAGGCCGGGCCCCGUACGUAGCGUUUCUGCUUCAUGUUGAGUCGCACAUAGU